UGAACGCUAGCGGCAGGCUUAACACAUGCAAGUCGAGGGGCAUCGGGAGUAGCAAUACUUGCCGGCGACCGGCGCAAGGGUGCGUAACGCGUGAGCAACAUGCCCGUAUCAGGGGGAUAAUCCAUGGAAACGUGGUCUAAUACCCCAUAGUAAUUAUGUAAGGCAUCUUAUAUAAUUUAAAGCUUUGGUGGAUACGGAUUGGCUCGCGUGACAUUAGCUGGAUGGUAAGGUAACGGCUUACCAUGGCUACGAUGUCUAGGGGUUCUGAGAGGAAGGUCCCCCACACUGGAACUGAGACACGGUCCAGACUCCUACGGGAGGCAGCAGUGAGGAAUAUUGGACAAUGGAUGGAAAUCUGAUCCAGCCAUGCCGCGUGCCAGGAAGACGGCCCUAUGGGUUGUAAACUGCUUUUGUAUGGGAGCAAUAAGGGCUACGUGUAGUCCGAUGAGAGUACCAUACGAAUAAGCACCGGCUAACUCCGUGCCAGCCGCCGC
rnacentral:rRNA from 1 species